rnacentral:rRNA from 1 species
ACACGUGGGCAACCUACCCUAUAGUUUGGGAUAACUCCGGGAAACCGGGGCUAAUACCGAAUAAUCUCUUUUGCUUCAUGGUGAAAGACUGAAAGACGGUUUCGGCUGUCGCUAUAGGAUGGGCCCGCGGCGCAUUAGCUAGUUGGUGAGGUAACGGCUCACCAAGGCGACGAUGCGUAGCCGACCUGAGAGGGUGAUCGGCCACACUGGGACUGAGACACGGCCCAGACUCCUACGGGAGGCAGCAGUAGGGAAUCUUCCACAAUGGGCGAAAGCCUGAUGGAGCAACGCCGCGUGAGUGAAGAAGGUUUUCGGAUCGUAAAACUCUGUUGUAAGGGAAGAACAAGUACAGUAGUAACUGGCUGUACCUUGACGGUACCUUAUUAGAAAGCCUCGGCUAACUACGUGCCAGCAGCCGCGGUAAUACGUAGGUGGCAAGCGUUUGUCCGGAAUUAUUGGGCGUAAAGCGCGCGCAGGCGGUCCUUUAAGUCUGAUGAGAAAGCCCACGGCUCAACCCGUGGAGGGU